GACGAACGCUGGCGGCGUGCUUAACACAUGCAAGUCGAACGGUGAAGCGCCUUCCUUUUUGGUGGGUGUGGAUGAGUGGCGAACGGGUGAGUAACACGUGAGUAACCUGCCCCCUUCUUCUGGAUAACCGCAUGAAAGUGUGGCUAAUACGGGAUAUUCUGGGUCUGUCGCAUGAUGGGUCUGGGAAAGAUAUUGUUUCGGUGGGGGAUGGGCUCGCGGCCUAUCAGCUUGUUGGUGGGGUGAUGGCCUACCAAGGCGGUGACGGGUAGCCGGCCUGAGAGGGUGGACGGUCACACUGGGACUGAGACACGGACACGACUCCUACGGGAGGCAGCAGUGGGGAAUAUUGCACGAUGGGCGCAAGCCUGAUGCAGCGACGCCGCGUGAGGGAUGGAGGCCUUCGGGUUGUGAACCUCUUUCGCCAGUGAAGCAGGCCUGCCUCGUUUGUGGGUGGGUUGACGGUAGCUGGAUAAGAAGCGCCGGCUAACUACGUG
rnacentral:rRNA from 1 species